GACCCUGACCAUGACCCCACUCCCUGCAGGUGUGUCAGGGGAGUUGGGACAUGGUGACCCUAACCCCAAACCCUGCGGGUGUCUCAGGAUAUGGUGACCCUGACCGUGACCCCACUUCCUGCAGGUGUCUCAGGGGAGUUGGGAUAUGGUGACCCUGACCCCACUCCCUGCGGGUGUCUCAGGAUAUGGUGACCCUGACCCCACUUCCUGGGGGUGUCUCAGGGGGAGUUGGGAUAUGGUGACCCUGACCGUGACCCCACUCCCUGCGGGUGUCUCAGGGGGAGUUGGGAUAUGGUGACCCUGACCCCACUUCCUGCGGGUGUCUCAGGAUAUGGUGACCCUGACCCCAAACCCUGCGGGUGUCUCAGGAUAUGGUGACCUUGACCCCAAACCCUGCGGGUGUCUCAGGGGGAGUUGGGAUAUGGUGACCCUGAACGUGACCCCAAACCCUGCGGGUGUCUCAGGAUAUGGUGACUCUGACCGUGACCCCACUUCCUGCGGGUGUCUCAGGGGGAGUUGGGAUAUGGUGACCCUGACCGUGACCCCAAACCCUGCGGGUGUCUCAGGAUAUGGUGACCCUGACCGUGACCCCAAACCCUGCGGGUGUCUCAGGAUAUGGUGACCCUGACCGUGACCCCAAACCCUGCGGGUGUCUCAGGAUAUGGUGACCCUGACCGUGACCCCAAACCCUGCGGGUGUCUCAGGAUAUGGUGACCCUGACCGUGACCCCACUCCCUGCGGG
ensembl:lncRNA